UGUAUUACCCUUUCAGGGACUGGUCUUGC
rnacentral:piRNA from 1 species